rnacentral:misc_RNA from 1 species
UUGAACUGUGUGCAACCAUAUGUACCACUCCGAGUCCAACAAUUCGAACAAAUUCAAAUGAUACCUCUGCGAUCCCAUAUAGGCCACCAUGGAUAUGACUUUGGGCCAGAAAUACCGCAAGUGAACACCAUACUAGGAAGAUGGGAAAGGGUGGUAACUAUCAAUGUUCAAGAGCAUCGACCCUUUUGCACACCUGAAUAUACGUGUGGCUUCUGGAGGAUGCAUAACAUGCAGAUCUAAGCGAGGAAGGUCUUCCAAGUUUUGGUAAUGAAAGGGAAAGAAGAUGGGCUCACAACCUUCUCAACAACAAUUAUGAUAUCACCAGAGAAAUGAGGCAGCAAAUUAUGACUAACAUUGAAGACCUGCAUUGACUGAAGUUUCUUAGAAUUUUUUUUCCCAUGUUAUCCCUAGCCUCUAGCUUAUUUCUAGUUUUGCUUUAGUCUGAUGUAAUAAUUUGAAAUCAUUCAAUAUGUGAAGAUU